UACGUAGGGUGCGAGCGUUGUCCGGAAUUACUGGGCGUAAAGAGCUCGUAGGUGGUUUGUCGCGUUGUCCGUGAAAACUCACAACUCAAUUGUGGGCGUGCGGGCGAUACGGGCAGACUGGAGUACUGCAGGGGAGACUGGAAUUCCUGGUGUAGCGGUGGAAUGCGCAGAUAUCAGGAGGAACACCGGUGGUGAAGGCGGGUCUCUGGGCAGUAACUGACGCUGAGGAGCGAAAGCGUGGGGAGCGAACAGG
rnacentral:rRNA from 1 species